rnacentral:rRNA from 1 species
AGGGUUCGAUUCUGGCUCAGAACGAACGGCUGGCGGCGCGUCUUAAGCAUGCAAGUCGGACGGCAAGGGGAGCUUGCUCCCCCCUAGAGUGGCGGACUGGUGAGUAACGCGUGGGUGACCUACCCUUGAGAUGGGGAUAGCCAUUAGAAAUAGUGGAUAAUACCGAAUACGCUCUUUUUGCUGUGGCGAGAAGAGGAAACAGGCUACGGCCUGGCUCGAGGAUGGGCCCGCGUCCCAUUAGCUAGUUGGUGAGGUAACGGCCCACCAAGGCGACGAUGGGUAUCCGGCCUGAGAGGGUGUACGGACACAUUGGGACUGAGAUACGGCCCAAACUCCUACGGGAGGCAGCAGCUAAGAAUAUUCCGCAAUGGACGAAGUCUGACGGAGCGACGCCGCGUGGAUGAAGAAGGACCCGAAAGGUUGUAAAAUCCUUUUGCUGAUGAAGAAUAAGUGGUGUAGGGAAUGACAUCAUGAUGACAUUAGUCGGUGAAUAAGCCCCGGCUAACUACGUGCCAGCCGCCGC